CCAAGGAGUCUAGCGUGUGCGCGAGUCAUUGGGUGUAAAACCUAAAGGCGUAAUGAAAGUGUCAGAGGGCGCUUGCGUUCUCAGUGGGAGGAAGUUAUUCGGCCUUCUGGCCGAUGCUCCGCACUCCCGGGGCGUUUCAUUCUCAUUGCGAGUCGAAACGCACCAGGAGCGCACACGCUGGUACCCGAAAGAUGGUGAACUAUGCCUGGCCAGGACGAAGCCAGGGGAAACCCUGGUGGAGGUCCGAAGCGAUUCUGACGUGCAAAUCGAUCGUCUGAGCUGGGUAUAGGGGCGAAAGACCAAUCGAACCAUCUAGUAGCUGGUUCCCUCCGAAGUUUCCCUCAGGAUAGCUGGCUCUCGGGAAGAGACGAGUCUCAUCCGGUAGAGCGAAUGAUUAGAGGUGAUGGGGUCGAAACGACUUCAACCUAUUCUCAAACUCCCAAUAGAUGAGAGCCCCGGCUUGCUUGAAAGUGAAGCCGAGGGACUCGGAUCAGAGUGCCAAGUGGGCCAAUUUU
rnacentral:rRNA from 1 species